rnacentral:lncRNA from 1 species
UGAGAACACAGUUACCACAACACUUUAAAGGGAGAUUAAAUUGAAAAAGAAGGGGUCUAGCAACUUCCAACAUUAUUUAUGUUUUCUUUCUACAACUCUAUUUUGUUGUGGGGUAUGCGGAAUGGUAGUUUGAUGAAUAAUUUCACGUGCAUUUAAAAGGAAAAAAGUUGUAGCACUGCUACCUAACUCAAAAUAAUUAUCAUAUCUAAAAGUUCGAACGUAUGAGUGAAAUUGAG